rnacentral:rRNA from 1 species
AUUGAACGCUGGCGGAAUGCUUUACACAUGCAAGUCGAACGGCAGCACGGGAGCUUGCUCCUGGUGGCGAGUGGCGAACGGGUGAGUAAUACAUCGGAACGUACCCAGUUAUGGGGGAUAACUAACCGAAAGGUUAGCUAAUGCCGCAUACGCCCUGAGGGGGAAAGCGGGGGACCGUAAGGCCUCGCGUAAUUGGAGCG